CACGUAGGGCGCAAGCGUUGUCCGGAAUUAUUGGGCGUAAAGAGCUCGUAGGCGGUCUGUUGCGUCCGCUGUGAAAACUCGGGGCUUAACCCCGAGCCUGCAGUGGAUACGGGCAGACUAGAGGUAGGUAGGGGAGAAUGGAAUUCCCGGUGUAGCGGUGAAAUGCGCAGAUAUCGGGAAGAACACCGAUUGCGAAGGCAGCUCGCUGGGACGUAACUGACGCUGAGACGCGAAAGCGUGGGGAGCAAACAGG
rnacentral:rRNA from 1 species